UACGUAGGGGGCAAGCGUUGUUCGGAAUUACUGGGCGUAAAGGGCCAGUAGGCGGCCAACUAAGUCCGACGUGAAAUCCCCAAGCUUAACUUGGGAACUGCGUCGGAUACUGGAUGGCUUGAAUUCGGGAGAGGGAUGCAGAAUUCCAGGUGUAGCGGUGAAAUGCGUAGAUAUCGGAAGGAACACCAGUGGCGAAAGCGGCUUCCUGGCCCAGCACCGACGUUCAGGCACGAAAGCGUGGGGAGCAAACAGG
rnacentral:rRNA from 1 species